rnacentral:rRNA from 1 species
CCUACGGGUGACAGCAGUGGGGAAUAUUGCACAAUGGGGGCAACCCUGAUGCAGCGACGCCGCGUGAGUGAAGAAGUAAUUCGUUAUGUAAAGCUCUAUCAGCAGGGAAGAAAAUGACGGUACCUGAGUAAGAAUCCCCGGCUAACUACGUUCCAGCAGCCGCGGUUAUACGUCGGGGGCAAGCGUUAUCCGGAUUUACUGGGUGUAAAGGGAGCGUAGAAGGCAGUGCAAGUCUGGAGUGAAAGGCGGGGGGUCAACCCCCGGACUUGUAUGGAAACUGUACGGCUGGAGUGAAGGAGGGGUAAGUGGAAUUCCGAGGGUAGCGGGUAAAUGGGUAGAUAUUAGGAGGAAAACCAGUGGCGAAGGCGGCUUACUGGACUGUAACUGACGUUGAGGGUCGAAAGCGUGGGGAGCAAACAGGAUUAGAUACCCCUGGUAGUC